GCCUACGGCCAUACCACCCUGAAAGCGCCCGAUCUCGUCUGAUCUCGGAAGCUAAGCAGGGACGGGCCCGGAUGGGAGACCGCCUGGGAUUACCAGGUGUUGUAGGCU
rnacentral:rRNA from 1 species